GCUUUUUUUUUCUUUUUCUUUCCUCCCUUUAAAAAAAUAAAUAGUAAAAGGAGCGCGGCGGCGGAGCGGCGCGGACCAGCGCGGCGAGCUGCCCCCGCCCGCCCGGGGCCGGGGAUGGUUUCCAAGCCGCCGUGCGCGGAUCCCAGUGCCGGGCUGGCUGCGGAGCGCGCCGCUUGGAGCGUGGCCGCGCUCGGCGCCUUCGCUCUAAUGAUUUUAAUUGCGUGGUUUUUGCUUUGAGUGAACUAAAGCGAGUGCGAUUACUUCUUCUUUUUUUUUUUUCUUUCUUUCUUUCUUUCUUUCUUUUUUUUUUCCCCGGUUUCACCAAAAGGCGGUCAGCAUCAGUUAUUCAGACGUAACGUACCUACCAAAGGUAUACGCUGCCUGCAAGCGCUCUGAAUGCCACUUCUUUAGAGGAGCCCAACUUCGGUGCUCAGAAGUUUAAGUCUCCUGAGAACGUUUUUUCUGAGCGAUUCCAGCUUCCAGACACAUUUGCCAUGAUAAGGGUUUCGAUCCUUUCCCGUGCUUGCUCUGAGCCAUGAGUGGAUAUGUGUGAUGCCUGCAAGUAAAACUGCAUCUUUUUUGGUAGCUGGCAUCAGGUGGGCUAGUCCUUCUUCACGUGAGCUGCUGCGCUYGAGCUCGUGGGAGCUCUUUGGGCCUCUCCGGUCGCUCGCUGUGCAGAUGGUGCCCUGUCCUGAGAAGAUCCCUUCCGGUCACCCCCCAGCAAAGAGACGUAUCAAACUGAUUUUGUUCUCGCAGAGUAAUAGGUCUGUGGUUUCCUCGGGCCCGUCUGCCCUUUGCCAUGCCCCCAUGCUACCUUCCCAACUCCUUGUCACCUUUCAUUUGCGGUGUAGUCGUUUUUCAGGUGACGCUAAUUGCRUUGCGCUCAUCGGGGACUUAAUAAAGGCGUGAUGACUAGGACAGUGCCCUGAGAGAUGAAGUCCCCCCGCUGCCAAGCGCCGGGUUUCGUGCGCUGGAGGAAGUGGGCUCGGGCCGUACCUGCGCACCUGGGCYGUGCGGUGGCUCUUCUGGGGAGCUGAAACGUGGUGGCCUUGAGCUUCUGGGAGGCCCCAAAUCAGCAAGAGCAAAGUAAAAGAUGCUUUCAAACAAUUCAUGCUGAAAUUAAGCAUUUUUUCCCAAGACAGUAGUAGUUAAGAAUUUGAUAAAACACUAAAACCUAGCCGCAGAGAACUAGGUGUGAAAUAAGAAAAGGCUUAUAACUUCAUUAGGCAAUCACAGUCAUCUACAGGUACUUUAAAUAGGAAGGGUUUUAUUUUAAUUAUUUUUACAGGGUAGGAGGAAUAUAAAUUCUCUUGCUUUAGGACAGAGCUAGCAAAGGGUUAGGCAGCAAUCCCUUUUCUCCAGAGAGAAAAAUUGUCUGUUAAAUGCUUUUUUUCUACUUUUCUCUGAAAACUGGCCUGGGCCAUUGCCAUAAGGAAAGGAUGUUGGCCUAGAUGGGGUCUGACCUUCCCUCUUCUGGGUGCUGAUGAGAGCUCUGCCCUUUUUCUUCCAUUUUGAAUACUCAAAUAGAAUUAAAAUGAAAACAGCUAUUAAAAGCAGGAGUUGAACACGCAACCAGGAGCUUAACCUGUGUCAGGUAUCGAGCCCCCUGGGAUCUCGGUAAUAAUCCCUGCCCGUUGGAAGCAGUCCCGGCGCGGGGUGGUGCCGUGGUGGGAGCCCUUGCGUGCGGCGGCUUUCUGGGGCAAUACACACGUGGCUGCAGAACUUAAAAAAAUUUGCUUCUCUUUUUAGCACAGUGUCUUUUAAAGGUGUUAUAUUUGUUUCCAUUUUGUGUUAAAUUAAAAUUAAACGGUUCAACUGUGUAGAUUUAAUCCUGUACGAAUAUAUUUAAUUUUGAAUCCUUUUAGCCUAUGUAUAUGUGACUAAGAUAAAAGCAAGAGUAGGGGGCUCU
rnacentral:lncRNA from 1 species